rnacentral:snoRNA from 1 species
CCCCCAUCUCGCGUGAUGAAACCCUGUGCCCCUGAGCUACCAUGAUUCUGGCUUCAAAGUAAACGCUCUGAAGAGAUAAGGCAAGG